rnacentral:lncRNA from 10 species
CAGAUCCUGUUUUGGUCCGCAGGGUUGUGACCAGAAAACAAGUCCUGUUGGUCUCCCACCUCAAUCUGACGGAUAUUAUUUUGACACAGUGUUACAUUUCUGGUUCCAGCUAAGAAAGGUGAUGAAAAGUUGCUUUUUAGACAAAAUAAGCCCUUACCCUCAAAGGAAAGUUGCUCCUGAAAUACAAGCAGAAAUCAGUGAUGGAGUCUCACUCUAUCACCCAGCCUGGAGUGCAGUGGCGCGAUCUCAGCUCAACACAACCUCUGCCUCCUGGGUUCAAGCCAUUCUCCUGCCUCAGCCUCUGGAGUAGCUGGGAUUACAGGAGUCCUGGUUGCUUCCUCUGCAAAUCGGUGAUGGCUUAUACAAAGAACAGUAUUAAAGACUCCGCGGCUGGACGCGGUGGGUCGCGCCUGUAAUCCCAGCACUUUGGGAGACCGAGGUGAGUGGAUCGCCUGAGGUCAGGAGUUCAAGACCAGCCUGGCCAACAUGGUGAAACCCCGACUCUGCUAAAAAUACAAAAAAUUACCCCGGGGCGUGGUGGCAGACAACUGUAAUCCCAGCUACUCGAGAGGCUGAGGCAGGAGAAUAGCUUGAACCCAGGAGGCGGAGGUUGCACUGAGCCGAGAUCACGCCACUGCACUCCAGCCUGGGCAACAAGAACAAAACUCCAUCUCAAU